AUGGCGAACUACCCCGUCAAUGUCGCCCUGUACCUGCCACAGGGCAUGACCAUCGAGCUGGGGCCUGAAGAUCGACUGGUCAGAGACGAGAUGGUGGUCAGUCCGGUGCUGCCGCUCCACCAUGACUUCUUGGCCAUUGUAGAGGUGAAUCGCUUCGUCCCUGACCAUCAGAAAGCUCUGCUUCGGCACACCAUCGAAGGUUUGCUCCAUGAGUCCAACUUUUCCCCCACUGAAGUUGACGAUUAUCCACUAGGGAUUGGCAUCUUUGGUUUUAUGGAUUCGGUUGUGAGAGAUGCGGUAGUGGGCACGACAUUUGAGCUAGAUGAGGAUGAUGAAAACCAAGGCACCAUUGUUUCUUUUGUUCCUCAAGAUGCUGCUAUCAAUAUGCGCCAAACUAGUUUUGGGCCUCAAGUGUGGUUGCUUUAUAUUGGUUUUCCGCAUGAUUAUCAGACUUCUCAUUACAUCCAUAAGUCUGUGGACAAAUUUGGUGAGCUUAUCACUUGGAAUAAUCCUAGAGGAGACAUGAAGUUUGUUCUGAUCAAAGCUCGUGUGCUUAGCUUGCGUCGGGUUCCCAAAAGCUUCGUUAUGCAUCAACUGGGUGGAGAGUGCCGCUGCUGGACGGUCUGUGUCACAAUCCUGCGCAUCAGUGACUGGAACGCACAUAUCUCGGAUGUGCUGCCAGCUGACAUGGAUCCACCUCCUGCUGAUGGAAUCCCCCAUCCUCUGUUCGGUGAAGGCCUCACUGCGGAGCAGAUGUACCAAGCACAACUGCACAAUUGGCUUGCUCAGAAUGCUGCGCCAAACCAACCUGACGCUGCUCCACAACACAAUGAGGUGCCAGGACAUGAUGUUCACUUCCAAGCUGGUUGGGGUGCUUGGCCACCUUCUCCACCGCCGGCUCUGUAUAACUUUCAAGCAUGGCUGACUGCGGAAGGAUUACAGGUUCAUGAUGGGAUUUUACCUGCAAACAAUCUUCAAGAUAGUCCAGGUACUGCUUGGAACGACUCUUUCUCUGCAUAUGACAUCUCAAAUUCUAGUGCAACAAUCUCGGACAGCUAUAUCUUGGUUCCCAACAACAUCUUCCAUGCUCUGACAGUUGGAGAAAGUUCUGCCACGCCUGAAAACAGUAUUGUUCUUAGCCCGGCUCCCACUGCUGCCCUGGAAAUUCAUGUCUCUCCGUCUGCUGCUGGCCUAUAG
rnacentral:rRNA from 1 species